rnacentral:lncRNA from 1 species
GACCGACCGACGGACAGACCAGUGCUUUCACGGUGUGAGCGCGCGUCGUUUGGCGGAAAUCUGGCAUUUUUUAAAGUUUGCGCCCCACAAAGAGGAAAUAUUCCAAAGGUACUCAGGAUGUAAAAGGGGAGAUCUUCACAGAUGCCUCCGUGGAUGGCAUGGCAAUCCAUCCAUCAAUGAGAAGACCAUGAUUUCUUUUAAUUUUCUGUGUGUUUCCACAUUCCCCAGUGAGAAUUCUUCCACCUUUUUUUGUGCCAUGGGAAAAACCUGAAGGGCAGGCAGAGCUGCUCCCGAACUUGUGACCUUCUCUGAGGUUGCAGCGGCUCUUGUAGAACAUGACUCUGGGACAUCACUUCCUUUUGUUUUCUUUCGGAGCUGAACCAAAGAAUGUGCACCCUCUUUCUCUAGUGCUGUGGUGUCUGCUUAUUUUUGUAUUUGUGCUUUCCAUCCAUCUUCUGUGAUCACAAGGCAUUCUUAAGGUUUUCUAGCACGACUUGCGGACAUCCAGACUCGUGGGGGGCCCACCCAUGGCUCGGUAAGCCAGCAGCCCAGGGCACUGGCACUACCAUGAGGCACUGCAUUAAUUGCUGCAUACAGCUGUUACCCGACGGCGCACACAAGCAGCAGGUCAACUGCCAAGGGGGCCCCCAUCACGGUCACCAGGCGUGCCCCACGUGCAAAGGAGAAAACAAAAUUCUGUUUCGUGUGGACAGUAAGCAGAUGAACUUGCUUGCUGUUCUCGAAGUGAGGACUGAAGGGAACGAAAA